rnacentral:lncRNA from 1 species
ACCCUCUUCUUUAUUGAAAUACAUAUAUUUCAUCUACACUGUAAUAUAAAAAAUUAUGUUGGUUUAAAUAAUUAUUUUUAUAAUUAUUAAAAAUAAUAUAUUACUAGUGCAACUUACUAUGUCUCCAAACUAUUUUAUAACUUUCCUCCUAUAUUGAUCAUUAGCAUCCGUAUUAUUCUCUCUGCAUAGUAUACUCUUGUGUUCACUGCAACAAAUCAUAAUUUUUAAUUUUACAUCGAUAUAAAAAAAUUACUUAAAAUAUUAAACAGUAUGCUAAGAUGGUACGUACUCAAUGAAAUUUUUAAUUUUUUUAUAAUUAUUUAGAAUAUAAAAGUGUGUCUUGGAUAGCUCAUUCACAUCCAUAAAUUCAUAUCUCUUUCCACCCAU